UACGAAGGGGGGCUAGCGUUGCUCGGAAUUACUGGGCGUAAAGGGAGCGUAGGCGGAUAGUUAAGUCAGAGGUGAAAGCCCAGGGCUCAACCUUGGAAUUGCCUUUGAUACUGGCUAUCUUGAGUAUGGGAGAGGUAAGCGGAACUCCGAGUGUAGAGGUGAAAUUCGUAGAUAUUCGGAAGAACACCAGUGGCGAAGGCGGCUUACUGGCCCAUUACUGACGCUGAGGCUCGAAAGCGUGGGGAGCAAACAGG
rnacentral:rRNA from 1 species